rnacentral:rRNA from 1 species
GAUGAACGCUGGCGGCGUGCCUAAUACAUGCAAGUCGAGCGAACGGACGAGAAGCUUGCUGCGCUGAUGUUAGCGGCGGACGGGUGAGUAACAUGUGGAUAACCUACCUAUAAGACGGGGAUAACUUCGGGAAACCGGAGCUAAUACCGGAUGAUAUCUUGAACCGCAUGGUUCGAAAGUGAAAGACGGUCUUGCUGUCACUUAUAGAUGGAUCCGCGCUGCUUUAGCUAGUUGGUAAGGUAACGGCUUACCAAGGCAACGAUGCAUAGACGACCUGAGAGAGUGAUCGGCGACCUGGGAACUUAGCCACGGUCCAUACUCCUACGGGACGCCGCAGUAGGGAAUCUUCCGCAAUGGGCGAAAGCCUGACGGAGCAACGCCGCGUGAGUUAUGAAAAUCUUCGGAUCGUAAAACUCUGUUACUAGGUAUGAACAUCUGUGUACGUAACUGUGCCCAUCUUGACGGUACCUAAUCAGAAAGCCACGGCUAACUACGUG